AAGGGAGAAAGUAUUCUUGGGAGAGUGCUAAUUUUUCUAAGCCGUGGUUAGACUCCAUGGGUCCCUUG
rnacentral:tRNA from 2 species